rnacentral:rRNA from 1 species
GACGAACGCUGGCGGCGUGCUUAACACAUGCAAGUCGAACGAGUGGCGAACGGGUGAGUAACACGUGGGGACCUGCCCGAUAGAGGGGGAUAACUACUGGAAACGGUGGCUAAUACCGCAUACUAUCGGAUGAACCCAUGUGGGCUUAGCUAGUAGGUGGGGUAAAGGCUCACCUAGGCGACGAUCUCUAGCUGGUCUGAGAGGAUGAUCAGCAAAACGGGGACUGAGACACGGCCCAGACUCCUACGGGAGGCAGCAGUGGGGAAUAUUGCACAAUGGGCGCAAGCCUGAUGCAGCCAUGCCGCGUGUAUGAAGAAGGCCUUAGGGUUGUAAAGUACUUUCAGCGGGGAGGCGUUACCCGCAGAAGAAGCACCGGCUAACUCCGUGCCAGCAGCCGCGGUAAUAC